rnacentral:rRNA from 1 species
UACAGAGGGUGCGAGCGUUGUCCGGAAUCACUGGGCGUAAAGGGCGCGUAGGCGGCUCGGUAAGGUUGCGGUGAAAGCCCGGGGCUCAACCCCGGGUCGGCCGUGGCAACUGCUGAGCUGGAGCACUGUAGAGGCAGGUGGAAUUCCGGGUGUAGCGGUGGAAUGCGUAGGGAUCCGGAGGAACACCAAUUGCGAAGGCAGCUCGCUGGGACGUAACUGACGCUGAGACGCGAAAGCGUGGGGAGCAAACAGG